CCGCGCUCCGCGCCGGCCGCGCCAUGGGGGAGGGGCGGGGCGGGCCGCGCGAGACCCGGGAAACAUGGCUGCUCGUCCUAUUUCGGCGUCGCGGCGUGGCCACCAGCCCCCGGAUCCGAGUUGGGAGAGGCUCCGAAGAGGCUCCCGCGCCGGCGGAAUUCAAUCAAUAAACCCCGAACCCACGGCCGCGCGUUUUAGGACUUUGAAGGCUCAACCAGCUCCGCUCGGUUCUCGAGCCCCCAGCACCCGCGGCGCACACUAACCUGAUCACGGUGGAGGCGGGACCUGCGGGCCGGCGGAUGAGCGGCAACAGCUGGAGCCAAUCGCCGCCGAGGGUCUCCGGGCAACAGCCAAUGGUGGCAGCGGCGGGGGGGGAAGGGACCAAUGGGCGGGCUGCGCAGCCGGCCAGGGAGGCUCAGCCAUUUGGUUGUGGUGCCGGAGACGGACCCCUUUAGAUUUCGGGGCGGCUGAGGAGCGCGGCGGCUGCUUGGUGGCUGAGCUAGGGGGGUGGGCAGAAUGGCGGGGGAAGGGAAGGUGACUGCGCCUCGAGAGCCUAGCCGCUCGGCCUCGCCAGCCCGCCGCCGCCGCCUCAGCGUUUGGCCGGGGGCGGGGCCGCAGGUGCGUUACUCGAGGGGGAGGGGCGCGGCCGGAGGGGUCGGGGUCGGGAUCCUAGCAGGGCCGAGGGCUUCGCGGGGACGCCCUGGGCCUGCCCGCAUCGCUGGAGCGGGUUGGUGAAAGAGGUGGACGUCCGGCGCGAGGUCUCGGGGCCGCGGGCUGCCCCGCGGGCGGGCUGAUGAAAGGCCUGGAAAGAGGGGGGAGGGGUCAAGGGUGCAGUGGGAGGAGGGGCUGGUCAUUUUCUGGGUCCGGAGGGCCGAGCGGUGGAGCGUGGCUGCUGCCCUCCACCCCCUCCGCGGGUUCCCACCCCCCGGCUGCGGCUCGCAGCCCGCGCGCCCCUUCGCCUCCCGCCUCGUCCUCGUCCAGCCGCGGCCAUCGCCGCCCCUCUAAUAAACAAGUAAAUGAAAGCAAGAUGCGUCCACCUUUGGAUGACUUUCCUCGCGGUCUUGACCCUCUCUACGGAGGGGCAUUUCAAUUUGCUGUCAUGUAAGGUCAGCCUGGAAGGAGCGAUCACCAUGAGGCACCCAGGAUCUUGUUCAGCCAAUAAAUGAAUGGAGACCAUGGAUUAAGAGUUGUUGCUGAAUAUACUGAAUAUUAAAAAAAAAAAAAAAAAAGUGAAAAGGGAAGGUGCUAAUAACUUCUGGUUUUCUGGUCCAAACAAUUUGAUGGGCUUUGUAGACCUAGUGAAAGGAAACGGCGCACAGUUUAUUCUAAUCGUCCACCUGACUCAUUUGGUUCAAUUUGGGUUGCCAAAGAGGCUCUAUUUGGAGCACUUUCUCCAGGUUUUACGGUUUGCUUGCUUUGGGUUUUUUUUGUUUUGUUUUGUUUUGUUCUGUUUUGUUCAUCACAUUAGUUUUUAGACCUUAAAACCUUCAUCCCCACUGGGUUACCUACUUCUUAUGGCCAGGCCUUGGACCUUGUCAUGUACUAUGUUGGCUGCCUAUGGCUGUUAAUAAAUCAUGGGAAUUGUUGUCAACAAGGACGGAUCCAUCGUUACCCUUCCACACAAGUGUUUUUCAGUGCUUCUAUUUCUGUGUCCACACUUUUCCUUAUACACGCCAAGGUGGUUUUUACGUAGGGAUACAUUGUAUUUUAUUUUUCAGGCACAUGGGUUCAAGGGAGCGAUAAAGCAGUAUGUAUGUUGCAAAUUUGAAAUAUUGUUACAUAACACCAAUACAGUUUCAUUCUUGAGCAUAUAAAGUUGAGGAGGAAAUAGAAAGUGACGGAAUGUAAAUAAAACGCAGAGAAUGCUCACACUGGGGAAGAAACUGUAGUAACUCUGAUACUGUAACCUGAUGGAUUGUAAACUUAAAAUCCUACAGCCAAGCAUUUUACUCAGUAAAUUUUUCUUUCAGAUAAAAUAAUAAGUGGAAUUUGAAAAGUGAUAAUGUUUACCCUGAGUAGCUGGGAAAUCCAAAAUAAAAAUGGAAAGCCAUUGUUUUAUUUCA